rnacentral:rRNA from 1 species
CAGCAGCCGCGGUAAUACGUAGGGUGCAAGCGUUGUCCGGAAUUACUGGGCGUAAAGAGUUCGUAGGCGGUUUGUCGCGUCGUUUGUGAAAACCAGCAGCUCAACUGCUGGCUUGCAGGCGAUACGGGCAGACUUGAGUACUGCAGGGGAGACUGGAAUUCCUGGUGUAGCGGUGAAAUGCGCAGAUAUCAGGAGGAACACCGGUGGCGAAGGCGGGUCUCUGGGCGUAAACUGACGCUGAGGAACGAAAGCGUGGGGAGCAAACAGGAUUAGAUACCCUGGUAGUCCACGCCCUANACGAUGCGAAACUGGAUGUUGGGUGCNAUUUGGCACGCAGUAUCGAAGCUAACGCGUUANGUUCGCCGCCUGGGGAGU